CGGGCGGGUGAGUAACGCGUGGAUAACCUGCCGUAUGCAGGGGGAUACCAACUGGAAACAGUUGCUAAUACCGCAUAAGCGCACAGUGUCGCAUGACACGGUGUGAAAAGAUUUAUCGGCAUACGAUGGAUCCGCGUCCGAUUAGCCAGUUGGCGGGGUAACGGCCCACCAAAGCGACGAUCGGUAGCCGGCCUGAGAGGGCGGACGGCCACAUUGGGACUGAGACACGGCCCAAACUCCUACGGAAGGCAGCAG
rnacentral:rRNA from 1 species